AAGAACCUACUUCGUGUCCUGCUAAUGUCAGCUUACCAAAAUUCGCAUUCUUGGAAGGCGCCACCAAGACUGAGGAUUGGUUGCUUUCUGCUGUGAAAACAGUUGUCUAAUGAAUGCAUUUCAAAACCAUAAAUAAGUAAUGGAGGCAUUGUACCUCCAUUGAUGUACCUUUGUGUUUGUUGGUGCUCUUUUUAUGUUUGUAGAAUGGCAUGUCAGCAUUUUCUUUGAAUAAUAAGUAAGGAGAUAGUGACAGUAGUCGCACAGUACCUCCAUUGAUCUACCUUUGCAUCUGUUGCUGUUCUAUUUUUCUAGUUAUAUAAUAUUUAUUUUU